AGUGAACGCUGGCGGUAGGCCUAACACAUGCAAGUCGAACGGCAGCACAGUAAGAGCUUGCUCUUACGGGUGGCGAGUGGCGGACGGGUGAGGAAUACAUCGGAAUCUACUUUUUCGUGGGGGAUAACGUAGGGAAACUUACGCUAAUACCGCAUACGACCUACGGGUGAAAGCAGGGGAUCUUCGGACCUUGCGCGAUUGAAUGAGCCGAUGUCGGAUUAGCUAGUUGGCGGGGUAAAGGCCCACCAAGGCGACGAUCCGUAGCUGGUCUGAGAGGAUGAUCGGCAAACUGGAACCGGGAAACGGUCCCGGCUUCUACGGGAGGGAGCAGGUGGGAAUAUUGGACAAUGGGCGCAAGCCUGAUCCAGCCAUACCGCGUGGGUGAAGAAGGCCUUCGGGUUGUAAAGCCCUUUUGUUGGGAAAGAAAAGCAGCAGGUUAAUACCCCGCUGUUCUGACGGUACCCAAAGAAUAAGCACCGGCUAACUUCGUG
rnacentral:rRNA from 1 species